GAUGAACGCUGGCGGCGUGCCUAAUACAUGCAAGUCGAGCGAACAGACGAGGAGCUUGCUCCUCUGACGUUAGCGGCGGACGGGUGAGUAACACGUGGAUAACCUACCUAUAAGACUGGGAUAACUUCGGGAAACCGGAGCUAAUACCGGAUAAUAUGUUGAAUCGCAUGGUUCAACAGUGAAAGACGGUCUUGCUGUCACUUAUAGAUGGAUCCGCGCCGCAUUAGCUAGUUGGUAAGGUAACGGCUUACCACGGCAACGAUGCGUAGCCGACCUGAGAGGGUGAUCGGCCACACUGGAACUGAGACACGGUCCAGACUCCUACGGGAGGCAGCAGUAGGGAAUCUUCCGCAAUGGGCGAAAGCCUGACGGAGCAACGCCGCGUGAGUGAAGAAGGUCUUCGGAUCGUAAAACUCUGUUAUUAGGGAAGAACAAAUGUGUAAGUAACUAUGCACGUCUUGACGGUACCUAAUCAGAAAGCCACGGCUAACUACGUG
rnacentral:rRNA from 1 species